AACGAACGCUGGCGGCAUGCCUAACACAUGCAAGUCGAACGAGACCUUCGGGUCUAGUGGCGCACGGGUGCGUAACGCGUGGGAAUCUGCCCUUGGGUUCGGAAUAACAGUUAGAAAUGACUGCUAAUACCGGAUAAUGUCUUCGGACCAAAGAUUUAUCGCCCAGGGAUGAGCCCGCGUAGGAUUAGCUAGUUGGUGAGGUAAAGGCUCACCAAGGCGACGAUCCUUAGCUGGUCUGAGAGGAUGAUCAGCCACACUGGGACUGAGACACGGCCCAGACUCCUAC
rnacentral:rRNA from 1 species